CGCGUAGGCGGCCUAUUAAGUCAGAUGUGAAAGCCCCGGGCUCAACCUGGGAACUGCAUUUGAUACUGGUAGGCUAGAGUUUGGUAGAGGGUGACGGAAUUCCAGGUGUAGCGGUGAAAUGCGUAGAUAUCUGGAGGAACAUCAGUGGCGAAGGCGGUUGCCUGGACCAAAACUGACGCUGAGGUGCGAAAGCGUGGGGAGCAAACA
rnacentral:rRNA from 1 species